rnacentral:rRNA from 1 species
AUUGAACGCUGGCGGCAGGCCUAACACAUGCAAGUCGAACGAGUGGCGGACGGGUGAGUAAUGUCUGGGCAACUGCCCGAUGGAGGGGGAUAACUACUGGAAACGGUAGCUAAUACCGCCUACCAUCGGUUGAGCCCAGAUGGGAAUAGCUAGUUGGUGGGUUAAAGGCUCACCUAGGCGACGAUCCAUAGCUGGUCUGAGCGGAUGACCAGCCAAACGGGAACUGAGACACGGUCCAGACUCCUACGGGAGGAAGAAGGGGGGAAUAUUGGCAAAUGGGCGCAAGCCUGAUGCAGACAUGCGGCGUGUGUGAAGAAGGCCUCCGGGUUGUAAAGUCCUUUCAGCGGGGAGGCGUUACCCGCAGAAAAAGCACCGGCUAACUCCGUGCCAGCAGCCGCGGUAAUAC